UGUUGCUGUGCCUCUUUUCUGGUUCGUGUCCCAGUCCAGGAUAGACUCUGCCACAGAACCGCAACCUAGGGUCCUGGUUUAGACCUAGGAUAUGAGGCAGGUGACAAGAGUGACUGUCCUCUUGCUCUUGGGUACUUUGAGCCUUGCUAAGACCACCCAGCCCAUAUUCAUUCAGUUUUAUGAAGGACAAGAAGUGAACAUAUCCUGUAACCACACCAACAUUGCCACAAAUGAGUAUAUCUACUGGUACCGACAGUUCUCCAAUCAGGGACCACAAUUCAUUAUUCAAGGAUUUAAGGCAAACGUGACAAAUGAAGUGGCAUCUCUGUUCAUCUCAGCGGACAGGACGUCCAGCAUCCUGAGGCUGCCCACAGCUGUCCGGAGAGACACUGCUGUGUAUUACUGCAUUGUAGUCAUGCACAGUGAGUCAGAUGGGGCUGCACCUGUGCGGUAUCCCCUGUGGGUGGGAGUCACAGCCCAGGGGAAGCCCCAACAUAGUGCCAUCUGA